ensembl:lncRNA
GUGGUCGCAGGCGGGGUGGGGCGUUUUGUGGGGUUCCUCUCCCGAAACUGUCAGGGAGUCUCCGUGGGCCAGGGGAGCGACUGUCCCUGUCCUGCCGCGUGUGCCCAUCGCGGGGGAACGAGGCUCUCGGUGCUGGGGGAAAGGCAACCCGCACACCCCCCGCCCCACCCGUUCCUGCCCGCGGGAGGAGUUGCGGUUCUGUGGAGGGGCCUGGGCAGGGAACAGAAUUCUACGGCUUGGGGAGAAGGGGUCUCUGAGUGGAGGGGUGAAGAUGGCGUUUUCAGUAAGGUGGAGAUAGAGGGGACACGUCCCUUGGGUGUGCGACUUCAGCCGUUCAGGACUCAGAUAUUGAUAUCAGGAUUCAAAAUAGGAAGAGGUCUCUGGAUGGCAGACUCUGAAAAGAAAUGCUGUUUUAAGAGGUAUGCCUCAUGUAGGCCAAAAUAUUCUGGACUGGUUUCUAUAUAAAUGAUAAGGCUGAACUUCUGAGGAGUCCCUCUGCUGAUCCUCUCUGUAAUCUUGCAUAAAUAAUAGUUUCAGUGCUGACAUCUCUCUGCAGUGUGAAAGCUUGUGCUGAGAUAUACAGGCUUGUCAUAUCAAUUUUAGUGGAAAGGUCUGUAAUAUGUUGCUUACAUUUUUGCUCGAUCAUCUUAGGAGAACAAUGCCUUAGUGGAUGAAGGGGAUGAUGCACAAACAAAACAAAUCUACUUUCUGAAAUGUUCAUGUCCACUUUCAGCCACUCAUGACUUUGUGUGUGUAGGAGUUCGUUUGUUUGCUUGUUUUUUAAUUGGGACUAUAGUCCAGAUUUUGUAAAUGCCCUCACUCCCUUUCUGGUGUUUUGUAAGACAUCCAGACAGUGAAAGGCUGACACCGUGCCAGCAUUGUGGUUUAAAAUAAUGUCAGUUGGAUCCAAUAUGAGGAAAUACUAAUUUUUUUGCAAAUUAUCUUUUUUCCAUGUUAGCUGAAUGUUUGGAACAUUUUCUGUGUUUGUUUGGGGUUUCAUGUUCCAGCACUGAAGAAAGUUUCUCUUCUCUCUCCAUUGUUGGUAUGUUGUUUUUGAAUAAUUCAUUGCUUGGCAGCUGUUAAGAAAACUGUCUCUUCAAAAUGAAAUUCUUCUACCAGGUCUUCCAUCCAUUUCAAGCAGAUGUGGUGACAUAUGUUAGAAAGGUAGGCUUUGUCUUUGUAAGAGAAAGAUUGGUGUGAGUGUUUUCUUCUUUUAGCUUUUUUAAAUGGGAUCUCUCAAUUCUUUUUAAGCACCUCGUAGGGCUUCCUGUUUCUCUAAAGCAGUGCAAUGCUGAUUUGUUCUGCCUCCAAAAUAAUAACCAGGAUGAAGUACUAACAACUUGGGUUAAGAGUGGCUCUUCAGCUAUUGAGUAAGAUCUUGGUGUUGCUCUUUUUAAUGCAGUGUUUACAAAACCGCUAAAGAAAGUGAUGCUGUGAAUUAGGGAAGAUGUUAUUGCUAUUUUCUACACAACCAGUGGACAGAAAUCAAGAUGAGGUGCACCUCCACUACUCUUAGAGGUGCACACUUGCAGGAUGAGAGGCAUUGUACCCAAGUUACAAUGCAGGAGAUUCCUAUGAGACAGUAGUAACAUUUUUUGCCUGUGAAGGUGGUCAGGCACUGGAAAAGGCUGCCCAAAGAGGCUGUGGAAUCUUAAUUGUUGAACAUUUUCUGAGUGAAGCCCAUGGAAUAGCCCACUGUGACUCUUUUUAAGUGGGCCUGCUUAAAUGCAAGGUUGGAUUAGAGAAGCUUGAAGAGGUUACUUCAUUAUAUCCAUGACAUUAUCCUAUGAAUCUGUGUAACAUGUUGAAGGGACACUUUUUAUGAAUUUUACAUUUCCUGUAAAAAAAGUUAAACAGCUGAGGCUCAGGUUGAUGUUUUGUGUGUCUUUUUUUAGAUGGGUUUUGUUUUCUGGGGAUUGUUUAGUUUGGGACAGGAGGGGAUUGUUUUUGUUUUGCUUUGCUUUUUUAUUUGUUUUUGUUUUGGGUUUUUUUGGUGGGUUGGUUUUUUUUAGGUUGGUUGGUUGGUUAGUGAGUUGAGUAGAGUUCCGUGGCUAAAGAACUGAGGAGUGACUUCUUACUAUUCCACCAACAUGGUUUUGAGGGAGAAGUGUGGAAACCCAGGGCACCAUGAAUAUUUCUCUGUCUGCUCUGGGGUGUCCUGACCCCGAGGGGAGCACUGACUUUGACCCUCAUUCAUGGACAAAGUUUCCUAAACUUCAAGAUAGACUAGAAUCCACAAAAGUGUAAAAUAGAUUAUAGAAAGUAGUGUAGGUGUAUCACAUGGUGAGAAAUUUAGGAUUUGGAAUUUUUAGUGUGCUGUGGAUGGAAGCAAGAUGGAGGGCACAGGAUGUCGUCCUCGAUUUCUUCAUGCUGCUUCUUCCUUCUUCUUCAUGGGUUUGAGAGGCAUUUUGUAAUUGGGCAGAAAAGUCUGCAUUUCAGGCUCUCUGAGAUGAGUUAUUGGGUUAAAAGGGAAAAUAAUCUGGUUGUCAGUUCUUAAUUGGAUGGUUUAGUCCUAAAAUACCUUGUAACAAGGGAUGGUUAGCCAUUUUGUGCCUUCUGAUGAAAAGCUGCUGAACUCAUAGUAAGGAGACUGUUUUACUCAUAAGAAAUAAUAAACACUGGAGUCCAAACA